AUUGACAUGUGAAGCAUGUCAAUUGUUCCUAAUUUGAACUAAUAAAAAAUUACAAAAAAGAAGCAAAACCCCCCAAAAAAUAUUUCAAGAUAAUAUAGUGCAAAAAAUGAAAACAUAAUUAUAUGUUUCUCAAAUUUCCCCAAAGGCCAAAAAGAGUUAAAACCAAAAAUGCAAUCAGUAAGAAUUAGAUUAUUUUCAAGUUUUUCACCUAAAACUAUUCUUGGAGUAGCCUGAGAAUCUGCAACAUCAAACUGCCUACAAAAUGUAGCAAAUAAAACUAGAGCCUUCCAGCAAGUUCUUCCUCCAUGAAACUGUUAUGUUUUGAUACUGUUCAUAAUUUUGUUUCAUAUAUAAUACCAGUUGGAUAUAAAUUUCCAUGCAUACAUGGGAAACCCCAAUUGUUUUCUACUUCAGCAUUUUCUAUGAUUAUUUCUCAGUUACCUCUAAGUAUCCUGUUAACUAAUAAAAAAAGUCUCCUUAAGUUCAUGAUUAAAAUUGUCAUAAAUUUUAAAGAUCCAAAAUCUUAAAUUAAGAAAGCCUUAAGUUUAAAUCUUUAAAAGUUAAUGACCAUUGUUCACUGGAUUUUAUUGUUUUUUUUUUAGUUUUAUGCUUUUCCCUUGAUCUGAUAAAAGAUCAGACUCUGGCAUUGUUUUAUACAGCAUAAAGACAAAUUUUAUACAGUAUUCCAAAUUCCUAAUGCAUGAUUAGUAGUGAAUGAACAUCAGUUUGACAUUUGAAAAUAUGGCUGGCUGUGUCUUGGAUAUUCUCCGCUGUCAGAAAAUGAAUGAAGUACCAGAUGGCUCCUGAUCUGAUGCACCUGACCAAGACAUCCAGAGACCACCAGAUGAGUGAAAUAUUUGAAAGCAGAUGACAAAUCCAUCAAAAGGAGAUCUCCCAAGGGGGCCUCUUAGCAAGGCAGAAAGUCAUGGCAGAAGACUAUCAUGGAGGAAAGACACUUUCAGCAGUCAAAAAAGAGAGAAUGGGCUGGAGAGAUGGCUCAGAAGUUAAGAGCACUGGCUGCUAUACCAGGGUUCCUGCAUUCAAUUCCCAGUAACCACAUGGUACCUCACAACCGUCUGUAAUGAGAUCCGAUGCCCUCU